UACAGGGGGUGCAAACGUUGCUCGGAAUCAUUGGGCGUAAAGCGCACGUAGGCGGUCUGUUAUGUCGGAUGUGAAAGCCCUUGGCUCAACUGAGGAAGUGCAUCCGAAACUGGCAGGCUAGAGUACUAAAGAGGAUCGCGGAAUUCCCGGUGUAGAGGUGAAAUUCGUAGAUAUCGGGAGGAACACCGGUGGCGAAGGCGGCGAUCUGGGUAGAUACUGACGCUGAGGUGCGAAAGCGUGGGGAGCAAACGGG
rnacentral:rRNA from 1 species